CCGUGGCAGCGCGCAGCUCUCGUCCCCUCGUGCCGUGGCGACUGAGAUCUCUCUCGUCUCUCCUCUCUCGUCUCGUGUAUAAAUUUCCUUCGCCUUAGUUUCGCAUCUGCUAUCUGCUUCUUCUUCUUCUUCCUCUGCUGCUGCCGCGUUGCGUACGGUCGUGGGAGGAAACAGGGAGAGGGAGAUGGCGGCCUCGACGAUGAAGCACCUCGUGCAGGUCGGGGAGGCGCGGGAGGCGGCGGAGGAGGACGGAGGGGCGCCCUCGGCCGGGCCGGCGUACCGCUGCGCCUACGGCGGGGGCGCCGCCUCGCCGCCCGCCGUGCCGGGGCUCGAGUGCUGCUGGGACAUAUUCCGGAUGACGGUGGAGAGGUGCCCGGACAACAAGAUGUUGGGCCGCCGAGAAAUCGUCGACGGCAAGGCUGGCAAGUACACGUGGAUAACUUACAAGGAAGCGUACGACACCGUGAUCAAGGUGGGCGCGUCCAUCCGGAGCCUUGGAGUCGGCAAGGGUGGACGCUGUGGUAUUUACGGAGCCAACUGCCCUGAGUGGGUUAUCAGUAUGCAGGCCUGCAAUGCCCAUGGCAUAUACUGUGUUCCGUUGUAUGACACGCUAGGUGCUGGGGCUGUAGAAUUUAUACUGUGCCAUGCUGAGGUAGAAAUUGCUUUUAUAGAGGAAAAGAAGAUAGGAGAGGUGCUCAAGACAUUUCCAAAUGCAACAAAGUAUUUGAAGACAAUUGUGAGCUUUGGAAAGGUCAAUCCUGAACAAAAGGAAAAGGUUGAACAAAACGGAGUGUCCAUCUACUCGUGGGAAGAGUUUUUGCAGUUGGGAGGUGAAGAAAAGUAUGAACUUCCUACAAAGCAAAAGGAUGAUAUCUGUACAAUAAUGUACACCAGUGGAACAACUGGUGACCCUAAGGGAGUUUUAAUCUCCAACAGGAGCAUUAUUACUAUUAUUUCAGCAGUAGAUGGGUUCCUUGCAAACUCAAAAGAGCAGCUUCGUGAAGAUGAUGUUUACAUUUCUUAUCUUCCUCUUGCCCAUAUCUUUGACCGUGUACUUGAGGAAGUGUUCAUUCACCAUGGUGCAUCAAUUGGAUUUUGGCGUGGAGAUGUCAAACUCUUGGUUGAAGACAUUGGAGAACUCAAGCCAACAAUUUUCUGCGCUGUUCCACGUGUACUAGACAGAAUUUAUGGAGGACUGCAAGAUAAAGUUUCGACUGGUGGUUUCCUGAAGAAGACACUGUUUAAUGUUGCUUACAAAUACAAACAAGGGAAUAUGGUGAAAGGAAGCAAGCAUGAAGAAGCUGCUGCCAUGUUCGAUAAACUAGUCUUCACCAAGGUUAAACGAGGAUUAGGUGGCAGAGUACGACUUAUUUUGUCUGGUGCAGCUCCCCUGUCUAAUCAUGUUGAAGAGUACCUGCGUGUGGUAACUUGCUCCCUUGUUCUUCAGGGCUAUGGUCUUACUGAGACCUGUGCUGGGUCCUUCGUUUCCCUUCCAAACAACAUGUCGAUGCUGGGAACUGUAGGCCCUCCAGUCCCCUAUGUCGAAGUACACCUCGAGUCUGUUCCUGAAAUGGGAUAUGAUGCAUUGUCAAAAGAAUCACCUCGUGGGGAGAUUUGCAUCAGAGGGGACACCUUGUUCUCAGGGUACCACAAACGAGAAGACCUCACCAAGGAAGUUUUAGUCGAUGGAUGGUUUCACACAGGAGACAUUGGUGAGUGGCAGUCUGAUGGAAGCAUGAAGAUCAUUGAUCGCAAGAAGAACAUCUUCAAGCUCUCCCAAGGAGAAUAUGUCGCUGUGGAGAAUUUGGAGAACAUAUUCGGUCAAGCUCCUGGUGUUGAUUCGAUUUGGGUGUACGGGAAUAGCUUCGAAUCAUGCUUGGUUGCAGUGGUCAACCCGAACAAGCAAGCUCUGGAACGAUGGGCAGAGUCAAACGGGGUAACUGGAGACUUUGCUACCAUGUGUGAAGAUCCUAAAGCAAAAGAAUUUAUCUUGGGAGAAUUAACCAAGACUGGUAAAGAAAAGAAGCUCAAAGGCUUUGAGCUCAUCAGGGCUGUUCAUCUGGAGCCAGUGCCAUUCGAUAUGGAUCGUGACCUAAUUACCCCAACUUACAAGAAGAAGCGGCCACAGCUGCUCAAAUAUUACCAGUGAAAACGGACACCACCUCCAUAUGAAGGAUGAGUAAUUGCUUUGCUUACCAUAGGACUGCUGCCAUUGGCCUCAAGUUGAUGAGUUUAAAGGCUUCGUUCUAAUGUGUAAUGCAAGUUGCUUUACUUUUUUACCGCAACUUCCAGCUGCAACUAUCCAUGAACUAAACUACCUGGAGGGAGAGCUCAACCAUAAAACGCUAAAAAUGGAAGGUAGUUGACAAGACUAUCUGGCCCACACAACCGCAUCGAUUUCUGCCUGGGCGCUCCGAUAUAGUUCCAACCUCUUGGCGAGGUUAGCUCUACGCUCCAUCACCGCGGGGUCUUCAUCAAGAAGCUUAGAAAUGUGCUUGAUCUGCACAACAAACGGCAAGAGUACCAGUAAAAAAGUCGAUAAUUGUUCUUAUAUGAUGCAUAAAGUUAGGUUGUUUCCAUUUAUAUAGUGCGCACCGAUCGAUACACACCACGAUGACAGUUCAUACGAAAAAUAUGGUUUACUGGAUAAUAAUAACAAUACACAAACAAAUGUUCGGUCAGAUUGGUGAGCAGAGAUGCAGACAAUCCAUAAGGCGAUAAUUCUAAUUCUCAGGCAGCUAGUAUUAUAGGCACUAACAUGUAUGAUGGCAUGAUUCUAUGUAUAUAUAUAUAUGUGCUACCUUUGAA